UAGAGUUUGAUCCUGGCUCAGAUUGAACGCUGGCGGCAUGCCUUACACAUGCAAGUCGAACGGUAACGGGCCUUCGGGUGCCGACGAGUGGCGAACGGGUGAGUAAUGCAUCGGAACGUGCCCAGUGGUGGGGGAUAGCCCGGCGAAAGCCGGAUUAAUACCGCAUACGACCUACGGGUGAAAGCGGGGGACCUUCGGGCCUCGCGCCAUUGGAGCGGCCGAUGUCAGAUUAGGUAGUUGGUGGGGUAAAGGCCUACCAAGCCGACGAUCUGUAGCUGGUCUGAGAGGACGACCAGCCACACUGGGACUGAGACACGGCCCAGACUCCUACGGGAGGCAGCAGUGGGGAAUUUUGGACAAUGGGCGCAAGCCUGAUCCAGCCAUGCCGCGUGCGGGAACAAGGCCUUCGGGUUGUAAACCGCUUUUGUCAGGGAAGAAAUCCUGCGGGCCAAUACCCUGCGGGGAUGACGGUACCUGAAGAAUAAGCACCGGCUAACUACGUGCCAGCAGCCGCGGUAAUACGUAGGGUGCAAGCGUUAAUCGGAAUUACUGGGCGUAAAGCGUGCGCAGGCGGUUGUGCAAGACAGAUGUGAAAUCCCCGGGCUCAACCUGGGAACUGCAUUUGUGACUGCACGGCUGGAGUGCGGCAGAGGGGGAUGGAAUUCCGCGUGUAGCAGUGAAAUGCGUAGAUAUGCGGAGGAACACCGAUGGCG
rnacentral:rRNA from 1 species